rnacentral:rRNA from 1 species
UAGGGAAUCUUCGGCAAUGGACGAAAGUCUGACCGAGCAACGCCGCGUGAGUGAAGAAGGUUUUCGGAUCGUAAAACUCUGUUGUUAGAGAAGAACAAGGACGUUAGUAACUGAACGUCCCCUGACGGUAUCUAACCAGAAAGCCACGGCUAACUACGUGCCAGCAGCCGCGGUAAUACGUAGGUGGCAAGCGUUGUCCGGAUUUCUUGGGCGUAAAGCGAGCGCAGGCGGUUUCUUAAGUCUGAUGUGAAAGCCCCCGGCUCAACCGGGGAGGGUCAUUGGAAACUGGGAGACUUGAGUGCAGAAGAGGAGAGGGGAAUUCCAUGUGUAGCAGUGAAAUGCAUAGAUAUAUGGAGGAACACCAGUGGCGAAGGCGGCUCUCUGGUCUGUAACUGACGCUGAGGCUCGAAAGCGUGGGGAGCAAACAGG